rnacentral:rRNA from 1 species
UACGUAGGGUGCGAGCGUUAAUCGGAAUUACUGGGCGUAAAGCGUGCGCAGGCGGUGAUGUAAGACAGUUGUGAAAUCCCCGGGCUCAACCUGGGAAUUGCAUCUGUGACUGCAUCGCUAGAGUACGGUAGAGGGGGAUGGAAUUCCGCGUGUAGCAGUGAAGUGCGUAGAUAUGCGGAGGAACACCGAUGGCGAAGGCAAUCCCCUGGACCUGUACUGACGCUCAUGCACGAAAGCGUGGGGAGCAAACAGG